CGCCCUACGGAGCGCAGCAGUAGGGAAUCUUCCACAAUGGGCGCAAGCCUGAUGGAGCAACACUGCGUGAGUGAAGAAGGGUUUCGGCUCGUAAAGCUCUGUUGUUGGGGAAGAACGUGCGUGAGAGUAACUGUUCACGCAGUGACGGUAUCCAACCCGAAAGUCACGGCUAACUAAGUGCCAGCAGCCGCGGGAAUACGUCGGGGGCAAGCGUUAUCCGGAUUUAUUGGGCGUAACGCGAGCGCAGGCG
rnacentral:rRNA from 1 species